rnacentral:rRNA from 1 species
UGGGGAAUAUUGCGCAAUGGGGGCAACCCUGACGCAGCCAUGCCGCGUGAAUGAAGAAGGCCUUCGGGUUGUAAAGUUCUUUCGGUAGCGAGGAAGGCAUUUAGUUUAAUAGACUAGGUGAUUGACGUUAACUACAGAAGAAGCACCGGCUAACUCCGUGCCAGCAGCCGCGGUAAUACGGAGGGUGCGAGCGUUAAUCGGAAUAACUGGGCGUAAAGGGCACGCAGGCGGUGACUUAAGUGAGGUGUGAAAGCCCCGGGCUUAACCUGGGAAUUGCAUUUCAUACUGGGUCGCUAGAGUACUUUAGGGAGGGGUAGAAUUCCACGUGUAGCGGUGAAAUGCGUAGAGAUGUGGAGGAAUACCGAGGGCGAAGGCAGCCCCUUGGGAAUGUACUGACGCUCAUGUGCGAAAGCGUGGGGAGCAAACAGGAUUAGAUACCCUGGUAGUCCACGCUGUAAACGAUGUCGAUUUGGGGGUUGAACUUUGAGUUUGGCGCCCGUAGCNNNGUGAUAAAUCGACCGCCUGGGGAGUACNACCGCAAGGUU